rnacentral:rRNA from 3 species
UACAGAGGUCUCAAGCGUUGUUCGGAUUCAUUGGGCGUAAAGGGUGCGUAGGCGGUGAGGUAAGUCGGAUGUGAAAUCCCGGGGCUCAACCCCGGAACUGCAUUCGAUACUGCUUUACUUGAGGACUGGAGAGGAGAUUGGAAUUCACGGUGUAGCAGUGAAAUGCGUAGAUAUCGUGAGGAAGACCAGUGGCGAAGGCGAAUCUCUGGACAGAUCCUGACGCUGAGGCACGAAGGCUAGGGGAGCAAACGGG